UUAAUAGGAACCAGAACGCGUGGUCCCGUCUAAUGACAGGACAAAAGGGAAGCCAGUGAGAGUCUGGCGCGGUCCCGCCACUGUAAGGGAGAGCCGCUUUGCGUAAUGCCACUGGGCCGCUAGGCCUGGGAAGGCGUAAAGCUGGCAAUGACCCCGAGCCAGGAAACCUGCUCGUUCUGCUUUACUCGC
rnacentral:ncRNA from 2 species